AGUGAACGCUGGCGGCAGGCCUAAUACAUGCAAGUCGAACGGCAGCACAGCAGAGCUUGCUCUGUGGGUGGCGAGUGGCGGACGGGUGAGGAAUACAUGGGAAUCUGCCCAGUCGUGGGGGAUAACGUAUGGAAACGUACGCUAAUACCGCAUGCGCCCUACGGGGGAAAGGCCGGGGACCGAAAGGCCUGGCGCGAUUGGAUGAGCCCAUGUUCGAUUAGCUAGUUGGCGGGGUAAAGGCCCACCAAGGCGACGAUCGAUAGCUGGUCUGAGAGGAUGAUCAGCCACACUGGAACUGAGACACGGUCCAGACUCCUACGGGAGGCAGCAGUAGGGAAUAUUGGACAAUGGGGGCAACCCUCGAUCCAGCCAUGCCGCGUGAGUGAAGAAGGCCCUCGGGUUGUAAAGCUCUUUUGUCCGGAAAGAAAAGCAUUCGGUUAAUACCCGGGUGUUCUGACGGUACCGGAAGAAUAAGCACCGGCUAACUUCGUGCCAGCAG
rnacentral:rRNA from 1 species